GUUGUCGUCAGCUCGUGUCGUGAGAUGUUGGGUUAAGUCCCGCAACGAGCGCAACCCUUAUUGUUAGUUGCCAUCAUUUAGUUGGGCACUCUAGCGAGACUGCCGGUGACAAACCGGAGGAAGGUGGGGAUGACGUCAAAUCAUCAUGCCCCUUAUGACCUGGGCUACACACGUGCUACAAUGGGAAGUACAACGAGUCGCUAGACCGCGAGGUCAUGCAAAUCUCUUAAAGCUUCUCUCAGUUCGGAUUGCAGGCUGCAACUCGCCUGCAUGAAGCCGGAAUCGCUAGUAAUCGCGGAUCAGCACGCCGCGGUGAAUACGUUCCCGGGCCUUGUACACACCGCCCGUCACACCACGAGAGUUUGUAACACCCGAAGUCGGUGAGGUAACCUUUUUGGAGCCAGCCGCCUAAGGUGGGAUAGAUGAUUGGGGUGAAGUCGUAACAAGGUAGCCGUAUCGGAAGGUGCGGCUGGAUCACCUCCUUUCUAAGGAA
rnacentral:rRNA from 1 species